ensembl:lncRNA
GCAGUCCAAAGGUUUUAUUUAUCGCACAGAUGAUCAGGGUCGGGCAGGCAGAGUAAAUGGGGACAGGCAAGAGUUCGGGAACCGGCAGGCAAUCAGGUAGACUAGCGGUACCGUCGGCGGGCGGGUAGUCGGGCCGACGAGGGGUCGAUAUCAGGAGGGCAGACAGGCAGGCGAGGAGCUGGAAACAGGGGGGCAGACAGGCCGGCAGGGACUGGACAACCGGCGGGUGGUCAGACAGGCGAGGGUUCGGUAACAGGCAGGAUCAGCAUUGGAGAAACAGUUCUGGAGUUGCAGGAAAGCUCUGUCUGUGACACCAUCUUGGGCCAUGCAAACGAGAGGUUCUCUUUCACAAGCCACCUUGUGAGUGCAACGCUGCUACAAGGAGACCUGUUUGAGCAAUACUGCCAUAUGUUCCCUGAUGAGGCUCUGAACACCACUGCCAAGGCAUACCCCAUGCUGAAUAAGGCGAAGCUCAAGACUGAACUGUCCCUUAUCUACGAGAGUCCAGAUUUCAAGGGCUGCAGUGGUGCAUUGGCACUCUACCAGGUUCUACAGAGGAACAACCUCCAUGAGACCCUAUCUGAGACUGUGGCUCUGUUGAACAUCCUCAUAACCACUCCCAUGACAACUGCUGAAGCUGAAAGGUGUUUCUCGACCUUAAAGAGAAUCAAGACAUUCCUGCGAAACCCAAUGGGACAGGAUCGUCUCAAUGCUGUGGCCAUGCUUUCCAUGGAGAGGGAACUAGUCAGGAACAUGCCUGAUUUUAAUAAGAGGUUCAUUGAUCACUUUGCUGCUUUGAAAGAGAGACGAGCAAAAUUUCAAUACAAGUGAGAAAUGUUGUUUUAAUGUUGUUGUGUUGUUGCACUACUCAAAUGUUGAAUUGGAAAUAGCUGUAUUAAUUGCAUAUCAUUAGCAAUUUUUUUGUUUGCUUUGUAAUGUACAUGUGUCUUAUGGGUAAAUUCUUGUUAAAUAGCACCCAAUGUUUUGAUUAUCACCUUGGAUCAUUCUUGUUUUAGGAAUACUGUAAAUAUUGCAAUUAGUAGGCUAUGCCACUAGUUUUUAUAUAUGCUGUCUUCAAGUUGUAAACAUGUGAUAAGAACUGUAAAUAUUAUAAUUACUAGGCUAUGCUAACAUCCAUUUUUUUGUUUAAUCAGAACAUAACUGCUGCACUUAAAAUAAAUGAUAUCAGAUGAGAAAGAGUAUUGUGAUUUAUUGUAAAGCAGUCUCUUUUAACUUUCAGAGGUAUUUAAGGAGGC